CCGGCCCGGCCCGGCCCCCGCUCGGACGGUGCGGCAGCCGCCGAGAGAAGCCGAGAGUCCCGCGGACGCGAGCGGAAUACUGAUGCUGUUCUCUCUGCUUCCUGUUCUGCCAAGAUGUGAAGAGCUACAGUCAUGUGAGCAGGCUGCCUCACGCUCUGCAAGCACAGCCAUGAAACAUAGUCACCUCCUUGACUUCCCUUCCAUGACGGACUGGACCUGCAAACUGGGAGCCAAGCAAGUCCUCCUUGCCCAUGGAAGCCAGAAGAAGGUGCCAGAUUCUCUGGAGUUGUAGUGAGCUGCCAUGCAGAUGCUGUAAUUGAACCCGGAUCCUCGUCAAAGCAGCCGUGCUCUUAACUGCUGAGCCAUCUCGCUAGCCUCUGAAGCUUCUAUUUAAAGGCCUAGGAGAUGGUCUUUGGGCAACUGGGGUGGUAUGAACUUGGGCUUCCUUAGAAGCAUCAAAGAGCUGUUGUCACUGCUGUUAGAUGGACUGUUAGAUGUUAGACGUCAUGACAGGCUGUGCCUCUUCAAAUCAUAAAUCAUACAGCCUUCUUGAAGGUUUUGUUUGUUUGUGUAUUGUUUUUUGCCAGGUGUUUGGUCAGAAAUGAGGAAGGUCCCUGACAGUGGGUUAUGGACACUUACCACAAUUUCUCCAAUGUUGUAUGUACCUGAAUGCUGCCUGGGAGCGUGUGAGGGGAGAUGAGCUGUGUG
rnacentral:sRNA from 1 species